rnacentral:lncRNA from 1 species
AUUGGUCUGUACUGGUCUGUACUGGUCUGGCUCUGCUCUGUACUGGUCUGUAUUGCUCUGUACUGGUCUGGCACUGCUCUGUACUGGUCUGUACUGGUCCGUACUGGUCUGUACUGGUCUGGCACUGCUCUGUACUGGUCUGUACUGGUCUGGCACUGCUCUGUACUGGUCUGUACUGGUCCGUACUGGUGUGGGUGCAGGCCGCCCCUGGUGGCUGCUGGUGGCAGCGGGCGCAGUCACGGUGCUGGCGCUGCUGGGAGCACUGGGAGCCGCGUGCAGGCGCCGCAAGGACACGCGCUACGGUGCGGCCUUUGCUCCCCAUGGUGAACCCGUGGUUCAAUACCGCGUGCGCAGCUCCUACAGCCGCAGCAGCACCGACGCCACACGUGAGUGUCCCCGUGUCCCCAUGUCCCCACGUCCCAAUGUCCCCAUGUCCCCACGUCCCCAAUGUCCCCAUGUCCCCACAUCCCCAAUGUCCCCCUGUCCCAAUGUCCCCAUGUCCCCACAUCCCCACAUCCCCAAUGUCCCCAUGUCCCCAUGUUCCCAAUGUCCCCCUGUCCCCCUGUCCCCACGUCCCCACAUCCCCAUGUCCCCAUAUCCCCAAUGCCCUCAAUGUCCCCACGUCCCCACAUCCCAAUGUCCCCAGUGUCCCAAUGUCCUAAUGUCCCCCUGUCCCCAUGUCCCCAUGUCCCCAUGUCCCC